rnacentral:rRNA from 1 species
GAUGAACGCUAGCGGCAGGCUUAAUACAUGCAAGUCGAACGGCAGCACGGGUAGCAAUACCUGGUGGCGAGUGGCGCACGGGUGCGUAACACGUAUGCAACUUACCCUGUACCGAGACAUAACCCAUCGAAAGGUGAGCUAAUAUCUCAUAACAUUAUGAAUUGGCAUCAAUUUAUAAUUAAAGUUCCGGUGGUAAAGGAUAGGCAUGCGUCCCAUUAGCUAGUUGGUAGGGUAACGGCUUACCAAGGCGACGAUGGGUAGGGGUUCUGAGAGGAACAUCCCCCACACUGGUACUGAGACACGGACCAGACUCCUACGGGAGGCAGCAGUAAGGAAUAUUGGUCAAUGGGCGCAAGCCUGAACCAGCCAUGCCGCGUGAAGGAAGAAGGCCUUAUGGGUCGUAAACUUCUUUUAUAAGGGAAAAAACUGGGGUACGUGUACCUCAUUGCUUGUACCUUAUGAAUAAGCAUCGGCUAACUCCGCGCCAGCAGCCGCCGUAACAC